rnacentral:rRNA from 1 species
AUAAUGGGUCAGCGACUUAUAUUCUGUAGCAAGGUUAACCGAAUAGGGGAGCCGAAGGGAAACCGAGUCUUAACUGGGCGUUAAGUUGCAGGGUAUAGACCCGAAACCCGGUGAUCUAGCCAUGGGCAGGUUGAAGGUUGGGUAACACUAACUGGAGGACCGAACCGACUAAUGUUGAAAAAUUAGCGGAUGACUUGUGGCUGGGGGUGAAAGGCCAAUCAAACCGGGAGAUAGCUGGUUCUCCCCGAAAGCUAUUUAGGUAGCGCCUCGUGAAUUCAUCUCCGGGGGUAGAGCACUGUUUCGGCAAGGGGGUCAUCCCGACUUACCAACCCGAUGCAAACUGCGAAUACCGGAGAAUGUUAUCACGGGAGACACACGGCGGGUGCUAACGUCCGUCGUGAAGAGGGAAACAACCCAGACCGCCAGCUAAGGUCCCAAAGUCAUGGUUAAGUGGGAAACGAUGUGGGAAGGCCCAGACAGCCAGGAUGUUGGCUUAGAAGCAGCCAUCAUUUAAAGAAAGCGUAAUAGCUCACUGGUCGAGUCGGCCUGCGCGGAAGAUGUAACGGGGCUAAACCAUGCACCGAAGCUGCGGCAGCGACGCUUAUGCGUUGUUGGGUAGGGGAGCGUUCUGUAAGCCUGCGAAGGUGUGCUGUGAGGCAUGCUGGAGGUAUCAGAAGUGCGAAUGCUGACAUAAGUAACGAUAAAGCGGGUGAAAAGCCCGCUCGCCGGAAGACCAAGGGUUCCUGUCCAACGUUAAUCGGGGCAGGGUGAGUCGACCCCUAAGGCGAGGCCGAAAGGCGUAGUCGAUGGGAAACAGGUUAAUAUUCCUGUACUUGGUGUUACUGCGAAGGGGGGACGGAGAAGGCUAUGUUGGCCGGGCGACGGUUGUCCCGGUUUAAGCGUGUAGGCUGGUUUUCCAGGCAAAUCCGGAAAAUCAAGGCUGAGGCGUGAUGACGAGGCACUACGGUGCUGAAGCAACAAAUGCCCUGCUUCCAGGAAAAGCCUCUAAGCAUCAGGUAACAUCAAAUCGUACCCCAAACCGACACAGGUGGUCAGGUAGAGAAUACCAAGGCGCUUGAGAGAACUCGGGUGAAGGAACUAGGCAAAAUGGUGCCGUAACUUCGGGAGAAGGCACGCUGAUAUGUAGGUGAAGUCCCUCGCGGAUGGAGCUGAAAUCAGUCGAAGAUACCAGCUGGCUGCAACUGUUUAUUAAAAACACAGCACUGUGCAAACACGAAAGUGGACGUAUACGGUGUGACGCCUGCCCGGUGCCGGAAGGUUAAUUGAUGGGGUCAGCGCAAGCGAAGCUCUUGAUCGAAGCCCCGGUAAACGGCGGCCGUAACUAUAACGGUCCUAAGGUAGCGAAAUUCCUUGUCGGGUAAGUUCCGACCUGCACGAAUGGCGUAAUGAUGGCCAGGCUGUCUCCACCCGAGACUCAGUGAAAUUGAACUCGCUGUGAAGAUGCAGUGUACCCGCGGCAAGACGGAAAGACCCCGUGAACCUUUACUAUAGCUUGACACUGAACAUUGAGCCUUGAUGUGUAGGAUAGGUGGGAGGCUUUGAAGUGUGGACGCCAGUCUGCAUGGAGCCGACCUUGAAAUACCACCCUUUAAUGUUUGAUGUUCUAACGUUGACCCGUAAUCCGGGUUGCGGACAGUGUCUGGUGGGUAGUUUGACUGGGGCGGUCUCCUCCUAAAGAGUAACGGAGGAGCACGAAGGUUGGCUAAUCCUGGUCGGACAUCAGGAGGUUAGUGCAAUGGCAUAAGCCAGCUUGACUGCGAGCGUGACGGCGCGAGCAGGUGCGAAAGCAGGUCAUAGUGAUCCGGUGGUUCUGAAUGGAAGGGCCAUCGCUCAACGGAUAAAAGGUACUCCGGGGAUAACAGGCUGAUACCGCCCAAGAGUUCAUAUCGACGGCGGUGUUUGGCACCUCGAUGUCGGCUCAUCACAUCCUGGGGCUGAAGUAGGUCCCAAGGGUAUGGCUGUUCGCCAUUUAAAGUGGUACGCGAGCUGGGUUUAGAACGUCGUGAGACAGUUCGGUCCCUAUCUGCCGUGGGCGCUGGAGAACUGAGGGGGGCUGCUCCUAGUACGAGAGGACCGGAGUGGACGCAUCACUGGUGUUCGGGUUGUCAUGCCAAUGGCACUGCCCGGUAGCUAAAUGCGGAAGAGAUAAGUGCUGAAAGCAUCUAAGCACGAAACUUGCCCCGAGAUGAGUUCUCCCUGACUCCUUGAGAGUCCUGAAGGAACGUUGAAGACGACGACGUUGAUAGGCCGGGUGUGUAAGCGCAGCGAUGCGUUGAGCUAACCGGUACUAAUGAACCGUGAG